GAGAAAAAGGAAAACUGCUACAUCAUUGCCGUCGUGUUUGUUGCCGUUGCCUCGAGUGUGCUGCUGUUUCCUGGGCUGGAAAAUUGAACCGUGUUUCCCAGGGCGGGACAAAAAGCCAUCGGUAACCGUUCUGUACGAAGUGCCGUUGUAGUUCAUCCGGAAAACCCGUCGGAAGAAUCAGCACUAAGCCCGGAGGAAGCAAGUGAGCAACAUCCGUCGAUUAGAUCUGCCGAACGUUUUUGGAUCGGAGAGCCGACAUCCAGUGGAAAACGGUUUGUUGCCUCAAGCCAAACCGUUCAGAUAGCCACAGUGCAAAUAGUGGUUGGGAGGUGAUA